CCUACGGGUGGCAGCAGUGGGGAAUAUUGCACAAUGGGGGAAACCCUGAUGCAGCGACGCCGCGUGAGUGAAGAAGUAUCUCGGUACGUAAAGCUCUAUCAGCAGGGAAGAAAAUGACGGUACCUGACUAAGAAGCCCCGUCUAAAUACGAGCCGGCAGCCGCGGGAAGACGUAGGGGGCAGGCGUUAUCCGGAUUUACUGGGUGUAAAGGGAGCGUAGACGGCAGCACAAGUCUGGAGUGAAAUGCCGGGGCUUAACCCCGGAACUGCUUUGGAAACUGUGCGGCUGGAGUGCAGGAGGGGUAAGCGGAAUUCCUAGUGUAGCGGUGAAAUGCGUAGAUAUUAGGAGGAACACCGGUGGCGAAGGCGGCUUACUGGACUGUAACUGACGUUGAGGCUCGAAAGCGUGGGGAGCAAACAGGAUUAGAUACCCUGGUAGUC
rnacentral:rRNA from 1 species